rnacentral:rRNA from 1 species
UUUUGUGGCCAUACCUUGAUUUAUGCUCUUGCCAAAUUUUAUAAGCUAAGCAGGGUCAGGUCUGCUCAGUAUUUGGAUGGGAGUCCUCAACGGCUAAACUGGUGCAAGAAAUG